GCCUGUGGCCCUCAACAUCCUUACAGAUCCCCAACAAUAAGGGAGUGACAAUGACCAGGGAAAGAGUGUCUCAGAAAUUUCGUUGGUGAUACUAUAGUUGAACCCAUGGAAGCUGAUGAGACUUCACAGACAAGGACCCAAGACAGAGCCUCUAAGUACACCUACAAAGCAGGAGAAAAUCAUGGAUGAUGAUCCUAUAAAGGAGACAGAUUCAAGAAAAUCCAACCCAAAGCCAAUAAUGACAGACUCUUUGACUUAGUAAAAUAUGGUCUGCUACCUCGGAGCUCUGCUGUAGUUGAAAGGAUGAGGUCAUGGCAAAACCCAAGAACAGUAUUGGAGAGAACAAAGGGUACCAGAAGAAAUGAAAGUAAGCCAAGGACAUGAGCUGAAGACAGAGAACACAUCUUUGAACAGGAUUACUAGAUUGGUAAAUCAGGAGACUUCUUUGUGAGGCAAUAAUAUAUAAUAGGAAGAACACGGGGCUUGUAGU